GUACCACAUUUUCUGUAUCCAUUCCUCUGUUGAAGAGCAUCUGGGUUCUUUCCAGCUUCUGGCUAUUAUAAAUAAGGCUGCUAUGAACAUAGUGGAGCAUGUGUCCUUGUCAAAUGUUGAACCAUAUUUGGAGUAUAUGCCCAGGAGUGGUAUAACUGGGUCCUCAGGUAGAUAUAUGUCCAAUAUUCUGACAAAGUUCCAAACUGCUUUCCAAAGUGGUUGUACAAGUUUGCAAUCCCACCAACAAUGGAAGAGUGUUCCUCUUUCUCCACAUCCUCGCCAGCAUCUGCUGUCACCUGAGUUUUUGAUCUUAGCCAUUCUCACUGGUGUGAGGUGAAAUCUCAGGGUUGUUUUGAUUUGCAUUCCCCUGAUGACUAAG
rnacentral:lncRNA from 1 species